CAUCAUGUAAUAUCUGUCUCAUCAGAAAAAAAAACGCUUCUAUGAAAAAUAUUUUAGGAAUAUCUAUAUUUGGUUCUUGGAAUAGCUCUUUUUCAUUUGUGGGCUUUUUUCCUUUUUUGCAUUGUUUAAUUUUUUUUGUCCUCGUCAAAAAACAUUUGUCUUAUUAGAUCAGCUCAUUGGAGCUUUCUAAUCUAUUUCCACUUUCUGUCUAGGACAUAUGAGCAAGGGCAAACAGUUUUUAAUUAUCCUGAUCAAGUGUGGGGGACAUCUCUUUGCUGACCCCCCUUGUAAUCAACUGGGAUCUUCUAGAAGCAGGCGAAUUGAUUGUUUCUAUCUUCCUCAACUAGCCAGAAGAGUGGGUCAUACGUUAUUCUGCCCCUUUGAAAAAUCCACCUCAGUGAUUUUAUGACUGCCUGUGGCAGCAGAUUCCUCAGAAUGAAUUCUACCAGAUGAAGAAGUAUCUCCUAACACUUGCUUUAAAUUUCCUUAGCAUUAACUUCUCUGAGUGGCCAGCCCAGUCUCUUACGGGACAAUGUGAUAAGGAUCUGUCUGUUUUACUGCUCAGUACACAUCUUUAAUGCCAAAGUCAAUCUCUCUUAGUUUCCAGCCCAGAUUUAGUAAUUUUAACUUUUGAAAUCGCUCAUCACGAGUGAAUCCACACUACACUCGAUUUCUUGCCCUGCUCUGGAGCGAUGCCACUACUGAAAGAGAUUCCUUAAGGUGACAAAGUGAAAACUGGAGACAACAAUGCAGAUGAACAUAUGUUAUCCUCUACAAUGCUAUUGUGCUAUGCUCUCGCUCUCUCUUUUUCUCUUCCUGAUUUCUCUGCACAUAAAAGAGAAAUUCAUGGAAGAUGAUGGAAAGUUGCUUUGAAAAUUUUUUUAUCUAGUUCAUAUUUACAGACAGUGCAAUGUUCCCUUUUACAGCCUAAUACAGCCUGGGAUCUUUUACCCUGUUGGAAAUGUCCUAAAGGGGCUUUGACAUACCUCUGUUCCAAUUUCUACAUCACCUCGGGUCGGGGUCAAGCCUUCUUUUUACUAAAUAGAAUAGACAUCUAUUCCGUUAAAUAAAUGGAGACCUCACGCAUUAGAGACCAACGAUGUCAAAUUAUAAAUAAAACAUCUAACUCUCCCCAAACCACACUUUUCUCUCAAUUAUUUUUGCCAAGAUGUGCCUCACCUCCAAUUGCACCUGCAAUAAGAUUAUUUCUAGUGUCUUCCUUCCAUUAAUUUUGCAAUGUCACUGUCAAGAGGGAAUUAUCUGAUGACUUAAACUUUUGUAAGAUUUUCAAACCUCAAAAGAAAAAAUAGUAUUUUAACGAAAUAUAUUUUGUCAUUGAUUUAUUGAGAUGCCUGUGAGAGAGACAUGAUAUUUUAUGAUCGUUGAGUAAAUUAGCUUCGAAAUAGUAUAUUUGAAUUGAGGAGGCAGGACUCAGAAUGACAGACACACACAAAAAAGACAGAUCAAAUUGGGGUAUACAGUGAAGUGAGAAUGAUUUUAAUUUUAUUUUAAUUAUGGUAUUUCCUUGGAGAGGAGAUGGUAGAGGAGGGAGGAAAAAAGAGGAGGGGAGAGGCCACGUAUCGGGGAGGGUAGGACAAAUUAAGAAUGUCUCUGCAUUGAUGCCUUCUUUUGCCCUUCCUCUCAUGUUCUUCUUCCCUCUCCACCCUUCCUUCCUCCCUCUGUCUCUCUCUGUGUUCUCUUUCACUUCCAUCAAAGAUUAUUUAGCGCCUACCAUGUGUCAAUAUUGUGCAAGGUUCCAGGGUACAAUGGUAAGACAGAAAUGGUCUCUGAACUCAGAGUGGGAAACAUGCAGUCAAAAAGCAAUUGCAUGAAGUCCCUUAGAAGUCAUCCUACAACAAGCCGGGGAGUGAGGGUUAAGAGCCCAUGUCCAAGUUGAGGGGUUUGGAGAGCUCUCCUGAGGUAAUCCAUGUUAAAACUGAUGCAUGAGGGAUGGGUGGAAGUCAGCCUGGAGAAGAAGGACUUAGGAGAAGAAAAAUUCAUCCACAAACAGAGAUUGUGGGGGAGGAGCUGACGGAAGUCCAGGAAGGCCAGGAGGGCGGGCUUCUAGGGAGAAUUCACUGUGAGGACAUCAGGGCUUGGAGCGCCAGCUGAUGCUUUGGGAACAAAACUAAGGACAGUAUUUGGAAAGCUAUUUAGGGAAACGAAGACGUACUUUUCUCCAAAUAGAAUAAAGAUUAGAGUUGAAAUGGUUACCAUAAAAUCCUUUGAAGUAGCUUUAGAAUUUCAAAAAGGAGGACAUUAGAUAUUUAAAAAUAUGCCAAACAUCUGUAUCUCCAUAUCCUCCUUCCUAUAUGGGGACCAGAAGACGGGAUGUGGGCAGCCCAGGGAGACUUUGCUGGAUGCUGAGGCAGUUACUCCACCUGUAAACUGGCAAAGAGGCUCACCUGGUGUAGAAAGAUGUUUUCCUUAAGGGUACUUCUUACAGCAUCAAGCGUGUACAACUCAGAGAUAUCACAGAAAACACCCUUAGUGCUUUUAAGAUACUUAGUGCUUUUAAAACUAGCUCUCAAAACUUUUCUUUUUUUGUAGUCAAAGUAUAAAAGUCAUAAAAAUGAAGCAACUUUUUCACUUUCCCACCCAGUGGGGGAGGGCAUUGAGUGAAAAUGAAAGGUCAAGGUCAAGAUGCCCCUGCUCAUCCUCUCAUUGGUGCAGGAAAAUAAUGGCAAGCCUCUGACUGCACCUGGAGACAAAAGCUGCAGUGCCCCUCCAUUCAUCCAUCCAUGUCUCCGUGACUGACAGGAGACCAAGGGACAUUCAGCUUCAGUGGAAAAGGAAGUUUGCAGGAACAGGCCUCCCGGAAGCCCAGCAUGGCUCCGCAUGAUGGAGCUGUGACUUCCUGGGCAUCAAGAAGGCAACCGGGGCCCACAUCCUUCUUCCAAAUAUUCUUGAUGAAUGAGUUCAACAUCUCAGUUCACUAACCUAUCUGCUAACCUAUCUUAGUUGAUCCCUUAAUUUUGUUUUAGUUUGACAAAGGCAAGUGGUUAGGAGAGAUACCUAAGAUAUAGUUUCUCUUUUGCAAACAUAAGAAUAUAUUCUGAAGCUUGGUUGGGGGAGUUACUAUAAGAUCCUAUACCAUCAUUCAGUUUCUUUGAUACCAGAAAAAAAAUUAAAGUUGAAUAUUAAGUAUAUAUCAAGUCAUUAAAGAGCCAUGACUCACCCAUGUUCUCACAGAGCAGACAAAUGCUUUGGAUGCAGGGGCAAAUGGCAUGGGGUCAGUGUCUUCAUGGUUUAGGUCAAUGUAUUGCUUAAACAUUUGGAAUGUUUUCUUCAAGGGUUACGUGGGAUAAAAUUCUUUUGCUUAGACGUACUUUACUGCAGUUUGUAUUAAUAUUUGAUUUUUUAACUUAAAAAGGAUUUUAAAUUGAAAUUGUUUUAUUAAAAUUAUAUAUAUAGGGAAAAAUAGGAGUCAGGAUUAACAUGUGUGCUCAUUCAGAUUCGAAGAGGCCACUCUGAUAUUUUGAGAGGCUAUCUUCAACCUCAUAUGACACCACUAACUGGGCAGCCACAAUUGUGGAACCCCCCCCAUGCAGGCAAAGGGCUUGUCAGGCAGGGCCAUCAUUGUGUCCCCUGGAUCCUGGCGCACUCCCCAGAACCCUUUGCUGACUCACCUACAGAGAAGAGCCUCAAAACACACUUGUUGAACUGAAUUAAAUGGUGGAGCCAGCACAGUGGGUGGCAUCUAAAGACACUCAAAUACCCAACCCCAGUUUCACGCCUGAACACUGCUACUGCUAACUUCUUUCCUGCCUGUGCCCUGUUCCAGAUAGAAAAGUAUCCAUUAAGUGGGGUAGUUGACUCAAAAUAGCAAUGAUGACAACAAUAGUGCAAUUAACGACCUAAACUGAGCACUCACUCUGCAUCAGAAACUAUGCCAAGCACUGGGAUUUUCUGUGCGGCAGCAGGAGGAGGAACUGAUGGGCUGAACAGUCUUAACAUCUGCCUGUCACCAUCCCUUUGGAAGACUCCAGCAGACCCACAUGUCCUACGGUUCAACUUCUCAAACCUACCCCGUUUGUUAAUUUCUAAGAAGGAUUCUGAGCCCUGCUGUCACAUUUCAGCUUUACAGUGAUUCAGAAAUAUUUUGAUCCAAACAUGCCCUUUGUGUCAUGCUUUAUUAAGGCGAUACGACUCAUAUUAGCGAGUGCCUGCUUUUGGGCCAUAUGCCCUGAAUAAGUUAUCGGGUUUCACUGUUUACCCUUAGUUUAAAAAGAAAAAUUCCAUACGCUCUGACCUCCUGACAUCUAAACCCUGCUCAUGCGGUUAAAACAGGAAAACUAGUUAUCUGAUAUCAUGAAGACAAAUCAGCUGGUAGGUGCACUCAAAUGUUUCCAUUUCCACUGGUGUGAGGGCCUUGUGGGAGCCAUAGAUUAUUAAUCAGGAAGGUGCAGGAGAGCAUUUCCUUUUUGUUUGUUUGUUAAUUUCCAAAAUAAACCCAGUACCAAGAGAUACAGCUACAGUGCAUUUAUUUCUCAUCGUUAGCACACAUCGUUAUGCCAACAUAGAAGAAUUGCCAAGAGAAAUAGGAAAAAAAAAA